CAAAAACAUGAUGGCGACCUACACGGGAGAAGAGGUGUCUGUUUUGCUACAGUAUUCGCUAAUCCCUGACUCUGUGUUCAGGUCGCGGUCAGUGUGGAAAAUACUCGACUCUCCUCUUCUUCAUUUCGCCGGUCUCCAAACAAACCCGGACCUCGGCAACGAGAUAACUUCGCCCGCGCUCUUAUAUCCCGCGUGCACAGUGGAGACAGCUGCCAGGUGCCACAGUGAAGUCCCCCCUGACGGCUGCACACUUCAUGUUUCCAAUGGACCAGCACAUUGUGAAUGACAGUAUUGUGAUUUUGGAAAUGCUCUUAUACUGAUGUUUGUAACAUACUACUGUCUCAACAUCAGAACUGGGAGCAACUCUGGACUUCUUGUAGAGUAGGUCCCUGGAGGGUGGAGCAACACCUUGAUCACCAAGUUGGAAACACCUUGGCCCAGUGCUUCUGCCCUAUAAGACGUCGCCUCUUCACGCUUUUUUUGGGCUCUAUCUCUCUCAGCUACUCAUCAUAUUUUACUUUUGUGUUCAUGCAGACAACUGCUCAAACUUCAUACACCCAUUCAUGCAAACAUGCACCCACAACACUGAUUGUACUGAUGUCCAUACCUCACAGCUUAUCUUAGUCCUUUUGUUUUGGUUACAUCAUUUUGUUGUUAAUAAAUGUAUUAUUAUUU